rnacentral:rRNA from 1 species
UAGGGAAUCUUCCGCAAUGGACGCAAGUCUGACGGAGCAACGCCGCGUGAGUGAAGAAGGUUUUCGGAUCGUAAAACUCUGUUGUUAGAGAAGAACAAGUGCUAGAGUAACUGUUAGCGCCUUGACGGUAUCUAACCAGAAAGCCACGGCUAACUACGUGCCAGCAGCCGCGGUAAUACGUAGGUGGCAAGCGUUGUCCGGAUUUAUUGGGCGUAAAGCGAGCGCAGGCGGUUCCUUAAGUCUGAUGUGAAAGCCCCCGGCUCAACCGGGGAGGGUCAUUGGAAACUGGGGAACUUGAGUGCAGAAGGGGAGAGUGGAAUUCCAUGUGUAGCGGUGAAAUGCGUAGAUAUAUGGAGGAACACCGGUGGCGAAAGCGGCUCUCUGGUCUGUAACUGACGCUGAGGCUCGAAAGCGUGGGGAGCGAACAGGAUUAGAUACCCUGGUAGUCCACGCCGUAAACGAUGAGUGCUAGGUGUUGGAUCCUUUCCGGGAUUCAGUGCCGCAGCUAACGCAUUAAGCACUCCGCCUGGGGAGUACGACCGCAAGGUUG